rnacentral:rRNA from 1 species
GGGUUGUGAGGUUAAGCGACUAAGCGUACACGGUGGAUGCCCUGGCAGUCAGAGGCGAUGAAGGGCGUGCUAAUCUGCGAUAAGCGCCGGUAAGGUGAUAUGAACCGUUAUAACCGGCGAUACCCGAAUGGGGAAACCCAGUGUGAUUCGUCACACUAUCAUUAACUGAAUCCAUAGGUUAAUGAGGCGAACCGGGGGAACUGAAACAUCUAAGUACCCCGAGGAAAAGAAAUCAACCGAGAUUCCCCCAGUAGCGGCGAGCGAACGGGGAGGAGCCCAGAGCCUGAAUCAGCAUGUGUGUUAGUGGAAGCGUCUGGAAAGGCGCGCGAUACAGGGUGACAGCCCCGUACACAAAAGCGCAUGUGCUGUGAGCUCGAUGAGUAGGGCGGGACACGUGGUAUCCUGUCUGAAUAUGGGGGACCAUCCUCCAAGGCUAAAUACUCCUGACUGACCGAUAGUGAACCAGUACCGUGAGGGAAAGGCGAAAAGAACCCCGGCGAGGGGAGUGAAAAAGAACCUGAAACCGUGUACGUACAAGCAGUGGGAGCCCCACCACUAAGCCAGUGGUGAACUCCACAUCCGCAUCCUUUGCUGAGGAUACGGUUAACGGAGCGAAAGCGACGUUCAACCGCAAAACAAGCAGAGGGGGCUUAGUGGUGGGGUGACUGCGUACCUUUUGUAUAAUGGGUCAGCGACUUAUAUUCUGUAGCAAGGUUAACCGAAUAGGGGAGCCGGAGGGAAACCGAGUCUUAAUUGGGCGUUAAGUUGCAGGGUAUAGACCCGAAACCCGGUGAUCUAGCCAUGGGCAGGUUGAAGGUUGGGUAACACUAACUGGAGGACCGAACCGACUAAUGUUGAAAAAUUAGCGGAUGACCUGUGGCUGGGGGUGAAAGGCCAAUCAAACCGGGAGAUAGCUGGUUCUCCCCGAAAGCUAUUUAGGUAGCGCCUCGUGAAUUCAUCUCCGGGGGUAGAGCACUGUUUCGGCUAGGGGGCCAUCCCGGCUUACCAACCCGAUGCAAACUGCGAAUACCGGAGAAUGUUAUCACGGGAGACACACGGCGGGUGCUAACGUCCGUCGUGAAGAGGGAAACAACCCAGACCGCCAGCUAAGGUCCCAAAGUCAUGGUUAAGUGGGAAACGAUGUGGGAAGGCCCAGACAGCCAGGAUGUUGGCUUAGAAGCAGCCAUCAUUUAAAGAAAGCGUAAUAGCUCACUGGUCGAGUCGGCCUGCGCGGAAGAUGUAACGGGGCUAAACCAUGCACCGAAGCUGCGGCAGCGAACGUAUCACUUAAAGCGAUUCAGCGGGUUACGAUUGACGGAGCGAAGCGACGUCAAAGCGUAUACAAAGUCGAGUCGGUUUAAGGAUACGUUCGUUGGGUAGGGGAGCGUUCUGUAAGCCCGUGAAGGUGGCCUGUGAGGGUUGCUGGAGGUAUCAGAAGUGCGAAUGCUGACAUAAGUAACGAUAAAGCGGGUGAAAAGCCCGCUCGCCGGAAGACCAAGGGUUCCUGUCCAACGUUAAUCGGGGCAGGGUGAGUCGACCCCUAAGGCGAGGCCGAAAGGCGUAGUCGAUGGGAAACGGGUUAAUAUUCCCGUACUUGGUGUUACUGCGAAGGGGGGACGGAGAAGGCUAUGUUGGCCGGGCGACGGUUGUCCCGGUUUAAGCGUGUAGGUGUGUGUUCCAGGUAAAUCCGGUUCACUUUAACACUGAGGCGUGACGACGAGGCACUACGGUGCUGAAGCAACAAAUGCCCUGCUUCCAGGAAAAGCCUCUAAGCAUCAGGUAACACGAAAUCGUACCCCAAACCGACACAGGUGGUCAGGUAGAGAAUACCAAGGCGCUUGAGAGAACUCGGGUGAAGGAACUAGGCAAAAUGGUGCCGUAACUUCGGGAGAAGGCACGCUGACACGUAGGUGAAGUGAUUUACUCAUGGAGCUGAAGUCAGUCGAAGAUACCAGCUGGCUGCAACUGUUUAUUAAAAACACAGCACUGUGCAAACACGAAAGUGGACGUAUACGGUGUGACGCCUGCCCGGUGCCGGAAGGUUAAUUGAUGGGGUCAGCGCAAGCGAAGCUCCUGAUCGAAGCCCCGGUAAACGGCGGCCGUAACUAUAACGGUCCUAAGGUAGCGAAAUUCCUUGUCGGGUAAGUUCCGACCUGCACGAAUGGCGUAAUGAUGGCCAGGCUGUCUCCACCCGAGACUCAGUGAAAUUGAACUCGCUGUGAAGAUGCAGUGUACCCGCGGCAAGACGGAAAGACCCCGUGAACCUUUACUAUAGCUUGACACUGAACAUUGAGCCUUGAUGUGUAGGAUAGGUGGGAGGCUUUGAAGUGUGGACGCCAGUCUGCAUGGAGCCGACCUUGAAAUACCACCCUUUAAUGUUUGAUGUUCUAACGUGGACCCGUAAUCCGGGUUGCGGACAGUGUCUGGUGGGUAGUUUGACUGGGGCGGUCUCCUCCUAAAGAGUAACGGAGGAGCACGAAGGUUGGCUAAUCCUGGUCGGACAUCAGGAGGUUAGUGCAAUGGCAUAAGCCAGCUUGACUGCGAGCGUGACGGCGCGAGCAGGUGCGAAAGCAGGUCAUAGUGAUCCGGUGGUUCUGAAUGGAAGGGCCAUCGCUCAACGGAUAAAAGGUACUCCGGGGAUAACAGGCUGAUACCGCCCAAGAGUUCAUAUCGACGGCGGUGUUUGGCACCUCGAUGUCGGCUCAUCACAUCCUGGGGCUGAAGUAGGUCCCAAGGGUAUGGCUGUUCGCCAUUUAAAGUGGUACGCGAGCUGGGUUUAGAACGUCGUGAGACAGUUCGGUCCCUAUCUGCCGUGGGCGCUGGAGAACUGAGGGGGGCUGCUCCUAGUACGAGAGGACCGGAGUGGACGCAUCACUGGUGUUCGGGUUGUCAUGCCAAUGGCACUGCCCGGUAGCUAAAUGCGGAAGAGAUAAGUGCUGAAAGCAUA